rnacentral:rRNA from 1 species
AUUGAACGCUGGCGGCAGGCUUAACACAUGCAAGUCGAGCGAGCGGCGGACGGGUGAGUAAUGUCUGGGGAACUGCCCGAUAGAGGGGGAUAACUACUGGAAACGGUAGCUAAUACCGCAUACCAUCGGAUGUACCCAUAUGGGAUUAGCUAGUAGGUGGGGUAAAGGCUCACCUAGGCGACGAUCCCUAGCUGGUCUGAGAGGAUGAUCAGCAACACUGGUACUGGGACGAGGCCCAGAAUCGGACGGGAGGCAGCAGUGGGGAAGAUUGCGCAAGGGGCAGAAGCCUGAUGCAGCCAUGCCGCGUGUAUGAAGAAGGCCUUCGGGUUGUAAAGUACUGUCAGCGGGGAGGCGUUACCCGCAGAAGAAGCACCGGCUAACUCCGUGCCAGCAGCCGCGGUAAUUC